rnacentral:rRNA from 1 species
UGAAUACGAGACGCUAAGGCGUCGAAGUAGUGUAUGUCAUACUUCCAAGAAAAGCUUGCACUGUCAUAGAUAAAAAACGCCUGUACCAUAACCGACACAGGUGGGUAGGUAGAGUAUACUAAGGGGCGCGAGAUAACUCUCUCUAAGGAACUCGGCAAAAUAACUCCGUAACUUCGGGAGAAGGAGUGCCUUAUUCGUAAGGUUGCAAUAACAAGAUCCAAGCAACUGUUUAUCAAAAACACAGGUCUCCGCUAAGUCGUAAGACGAUGUAUGGGGGCUGACGCCUGCCCAGUGCCAGAAGGUUAAAGAAGUUGGUUAGCAAUUGCGAAGCUGAUAACUGAAGCCCUGGUGAACGGCGGCCGUAACUAUAACGGUCCUAAGGUAGCGAAAUUCCUUGUCGGGUAAGUUCCGACCCGCACGAAAGGCGUAAUGAUUUGGAUACUGUCUCGGAGAGGGGCUCGGUGAAAUAGACUUGUCUGUGAAGAUGCGGACUACCUGCACCAGGACAGAAAGACCCUAUGAAGCUUUACUGUAACUUGAAAUUGAAAUUGGACUUUAUUCGCGCAGUAUAGGUGGGAGGCGUUGAUUAUAAUCUUGUGGGAUUAUUGGAGCCAUCAGUGAGAUACCACUCUUGUAAUGUUAGAUUUCUAACUUUGAAUCAUUAUCUGGUCAAAGAACAGUUUCAGGCGGGCAGUUUGACUGGGGCGGUCGCCUCCUAAACGGUAACGGAGGCGUACAAAGGUUUCCUCUGAACGGUUAGAAAUCGUAUCUAGAGUGUAAAGGCAUAAGGAAGCUUGACUGUGAGACCUACAAGUCGAGCAGGGACGAAAGUCGGUCUUAGUGAUCUGACGGUACUGAGUGGAAAGGCCGUCACUCAACGGAUAAAAGUUACUCUAAGGAUAACAGGCUGAUCUCCCCCAAGAGUUCACAUCGACGGGGAGGUUUGGCACCUCGAUGUCGGCUCAUCGCAUCCUGGGGCGGUAGUACGUCCCAAGGGUUGGGCUGUUCGCCCAUGAAAGCGGUACGCGAGCUGGGCUCAGAACGUCGUGAGACAGUUCGGUCCAUAUCCGGUGUAGGCGUUAGAAUAUUGAGAGGAGCCUUCUUUAGUACGAGAGGACCGAGAAGGACAUACCUCUGGUGUACCAGUUAUCGUGCCAACGGUAAACGCUGGGUAGCUAUGUAUGGAGUGGAUAACCGCUGAAAGCAUCUAAGUGGGAAGCCCACCUCAAGAUAAGUAUUC